AAGUCAGCUGUGUGAACUGACAAAAACGGUCGAACCUUAAUAUGCACAAACAAAACCGCCUUUUAAAAACUGUUCCGCCCGUUUCCAUCUGCUAAACUGCCAAGAGGUUGUGCUUUUAAAUUGAAUAAAUAAAUAAAUAAUUUUUUUAAGCAGAGACCCAACUGUGUUUGUUAAGCUUUCAACUGAAUCACUCUUGGCAGUGGUUAAUUCCUUCAUUUUUGCAAAUCUUAAAGGUUGUUGUAAGAGGAAUCUACAGUCUCCCUCUUCCUGUAGAAUUGCUACGACAAUUUAGCGUGCCGCCCCUGUAGACCAGGUCUAUAAACCGCGUCCUGACCUCGCCUACGUGGCCCCUUGUAGACCAGGUCUAUAAACCGCGUCCUGACGCCCCCUGUAGACCAGGUCUAUAAACCGCGUCCUGACGCCCCCUGUAGACCAGGUCUAUAAACCGCGUCCUGACGUGCCGCCCCUGUAGACCAGGUCUAUAAACCCCGUCCUGACCUCGCCUACGUGGCCCCCUGUAGACCAGGUCUAUAAACCGCGUCCUGACGUGCCGCCCCCUGUAGACCAGGUCUAUAAACCGCGUCCUGACGUGCCGCCCCCUGUAGACCAGGUCUAUAAACCGCGUCCUGACGUGCCGCCCCCUGUAGACCAGGUCUAUAAACCGCGUCCUGACGUGCCGCCCCCUGUAGACCAGGUCUAUAAACCCCGUCCUGACCUCGCCUACGUGGCCCCCUGUAGACCAGGUCUAUAAACCGCGUCCUGACGUGCCGCCCCCUGUAGACCAGGUCUAUAAACCGCGUCCUGACGUGCUGCCCCCUGUAGACCAAGUCUAUAAACCGCGUCCUGACGUGCCGUCCCCUGUAGACCAGGUCUAUAAACCGCGUCCUGACGUGCCGUCCCCUGUAGACCAGGUCUAUAAACCGCGUCCUGACGUGCCGUCCCCUGUAGACCAGGUCUAUAAACCGCGUCCUGACGUUCCGUCCCCUGUAGACCAGGUCUAUAAACCGCGUCCUGACGUGCCGCCCCCUGUAGACCAGGUCUAUAAACCGCGUCCUGACGUGCCGUCCCCUGUAGACCAGGUCUAUAAACCGCGUCCUGACGUGCCGCCCCUGUAGACCAGGUCUAUAAACCGCGUCCUGACGUGCCGCCCCUGUAGACCAGGUCUAUAAACCGCGUCCUGACGUGCCGCCCCCUGUAGACCAGGUCUAUAAACCAUUUGUGUAGAGCGGCUGCUUUGCCAGAGGUUCUGGGAUGUGUCCAGUCAGUACGUGGUGAGAACCGGUGUCUUACCACAGGUCCCUGUGGCUGAGGGAUGGGCAUGCCAGGCCGAACCCCCAGUA